rnacentral:rRNA from 1 species
AAACCAACAGGGAUUGCCCUAGUAACGGCGAGUGAAGCGGCAACAGCUCAAAUUUGAAAUCUGGUCCUUUCAGGGCCCGAGUUGUAAUUUGCAGAGGAUGCUUCGGGUACGGGUGCCUACUGAGUUCCCUGGAACGGGACGCCAUAGAGGGUGAGAGCCCCGUCUAGUAGGAUACCCAGCCCAUGUGAAGCUCCCUCGACGAGUCGAGUAGUUUGGGAAUGCUGCUCUAACGGGAGGUAUACUCCUUCCAAGGCUAAAUACCGGCUGGAGACCGAUAGCGCACAAGUAGAGUGAUCGAAAGAUGAAAAGCACUUUGAAAAGAGAGUCAAAUAGCACGUGAAAUUGUUGAAAGGGAAGCGCUCGCUACCAGACUUGAGUUAGGCGGUUCAACCGGGGCCACGCCCCGGGGCACUCCACCUGCUCAGGCCAGCAUCAGCUUUCCGUCGGGGGCAAAGGCGUCGGGAAUGUGGCUCUCCCUCGGGAGAGUGUUAUAGCCCGGCGUGUCAUACCCUUCGGGGGGCUGAGGUACGCGCUUCUGCAAGGAUGCUGGCGUAAUGGUAGCUAGUGAC